CAGUUCGGUCCCUAUCCGUCGUGGGCGCAGGAAGUUUGAGAGGAGUUGUCCUUAGUACGAGAGGACCGGGAUGAACGGACCACUGGUGCAUCUGUUGUCUUACCAAAGGCAUAGCAGAGAAGCCAAGUCUGGAAGGGAUAAACGCUGAAGGCAUCUAAGCGUGAAGCCCCCCUCAAGAUAAGACUUCCCAUCCAGAAAUGGAGUAAGACCCCUUAGAGACUAUGAGGUAGAUAGGCUUAGGCUGUAAGUGCAGUAAUGCAUGUAGGUACUAAGUACUAACGGUUCGAGGGUUUGACCUAA
rnacentral:rRNA from 1 species